rnacentral:rRNA from 1 species
GAUGAACGCUAGCGAUAGGCCUAACACAUGCAAGUCGAGGGGCAUCACAUGAAGUAGCAAUACGGAUGGUGGCGACCGGCGCACGGGUGAGUAACACGUAUGCAACCUGCCUUCAACAAGGGGAUAACCCGUUGAAAGACGGACUAAUACCCUAUAACACAGGGGUCCCGCAUGGGAAUAUUUGUUAAAGGACAACCGGUUGAAGAUGGGCAUGCGUUCCAUUAGCUAGUUGGCGGGGUAAGGGCCCACCAAGGCAACACAGGGGGAUAGGGGAACUGAGAGGUUUAUCCCCCACACUGGUACUGAGACACGGACCAGACUCCUACGGGAGGCAGCAGUGAGGAAUAUUGGUCAAUGGACGCAAGUCUGAACCAGCCACGUCGCGUGAAGGAAGACGGCCCUACGGGUUGUAAACUUCUUUUGCAAGGGAAUAAAGUGGGCCACGUGUGGCCUUUUGCAAGUACCUUGCGAAUAAGGAUCGGCUAACUCCGUG